rnacentral:rRNA from 1 species
GACGAACGCGGCGGCGUGCCUAAUACAUGCAAGUCGAGCGGACAGAUGGGAGCUUGCUCCCUGAUGUUAGCGGCGGACGGGUGAGUAACACGUGGGUAACCUGCCUGUAAGACUGGGAUAACUCCGGGAAACCGGGGCUAAUACCGGAUGGUUGUUUGAACCGCAUGGUUCAAACAUAAAAGGUGGCUUCGGCUACCACUUACAGAUGGACCCGCGGCGCAUUAGCUAGUUGGUGAGGUAACGGCUCACCAAGGCAACGAUGCGUAGCCGACCUGAGAGGGCGAUCGGCCACACUGGGACUGAGACACGGCCCAGACUCCUACGGGAGGCAGCAGUAGGGAAUCUUCCGCAAUGGACGAAAGUCUGACGGAGCAACGCCGCGUGAGUGAUGAAGGUUUUCGGAUCGUAAAGCUCUGUUGUUAGGGAAGAACAAGUACCGUUCGA